ACAGCCGAUAAGUUCAGACAAUUUACUUGUCUUAUAAAAAUUCUACCUACAAAAUAAUCGUUCUGAAAUUGAUAACUUUUAUUUUCCGUCUCUGACGCAAGUUAUGCGACAAUUAUAGCGACCGGUUUAUAAGUAAGUAAAAUAUUUGUUGAAUUUGAUGGUGAGGUCAAUCGUUAGGUAUUUAAAGUUCGCUUGCUGCUCCUACUGAUUACAAAGACGACAGAAGUUACCAAAACCUUGACAAACAUCAACGAUCGUGUUCUAGCAUGAAAGGGUGCUGUGAAGGACUCUACUGCUCUUUCGGAGGCUUCGAGAGGAGUUGUUGGCCAAAAUAAACAAUUGGUGGAAUUUCCAAUUCGAGAUUUCAAUAAUUUAAUUUCAACAUCUAUCAAAUUAUUCCUCCAAGUAGAAUUAUGUAAGACGCAUAAACAAAUGAAUAAAUAGUAUUGCGCUAUCAAAAUAAAAAA